UACGUAGGGGGCAAGCGUUGUCCGGAAUUAUUGGGCGUAAAGAGCGCGUAGGCGGUCCGAUAAGUCGGCUGUGAAAGUCAAGGGCUCAACCCUUGAAAGCCGGCCGAUACUGUCGGACUAGAGUCCGGAAGAGGCGAGUGGAAUUCCCGGUGUAGCGGUGAAAUGCGCAGAUAUCAGGAGGAACACCGAUGGCGAAGGCAGGUCUCUGGGCCGAUACUGACGCUGAGGAGCGAAAGCGUGGGGAGCGAACAGG
rnacentral:rRNA from 1 species